rnacentral:rRNA from 1 species
UACGUAGGUGGCAAGCGUUGUCCGGAAUUAUUGGGCGUAAAGCGCGCGCAGGCGGUCCUUUAAGUCUGAUGUGAAAGCCCACGGCUCAACCGUGGAGGGUCAUUGGAAACUGGGGGACUUGAGUGCAGAAGAGGAAAGCGGAAUUCCACGUGUAGCGGUGAAAUGCGUAGAGAUGUGGAGGAACACCAGUGGCGAAGGCGAGUCCCUGGACAGGUCCUGACGCUGAGGCACGAAAGCUAGGGGAGCAAACAGG